CCUGAUGCAGCAACGCCGCGUGAGGGAUGACGGCCUUCGGGUUGUAAACCUCUUUUAGUAGGGAAGAAGGGCUUCGGCUUGACGGUACCUGCAGAAAAAGCACCGGCUAACUACGUGCCAGCAGCCGCGGUAAUACGUAGGGUGCGAGCGUUGUCCGGAAUUAUUGGGCGUAAAGAGCUCGUAGGCGGUUUGUCACGUCUGCUGUGAAAUCCCGAGGCUCAACCUCGGGCCUGCAGUGGGUACGGGCAGACUGGAGUGCGGUAGGGGAGAUUGGAAUUCCUGGUGUAGCGGUGGAAUGCGCAGAUAUCAGGAGGAACACCGAUGGCGAAGGCAGAUCUCUGGGCCGUAACUGACGCUGAGGAGCGAAAGCGUGGGGAGCGAACAGGAUUAGAUACCCUGGUAGUCCACGCCGUAAACGUUGGGCGCUAGAUGUGGGGACCAUUCCACGGUUUCCGUGUCGUAGCUAACGCAUUAAGCGCCCCGCCUGGGGAGUACGGCCGCAAGGCUAAAACUCAAAGGAAUUGACGGGGGCCCGCACAAGCGGCGGAGCAUGCGGAUUAAUUCGAUGCAACGCGAAGAACCUUACCAAGGCUUGACAUAUACGAGAACGCCGCAGAAAUGUGGAACUCUUU
rnacentral:rRNA from 1 species